AUGUACACCCGUACACCCCCGGUUCCCUCCGCGCCGUCCGCACCCAACUGAUGACUGCUCGCUACGUUUUGUUAGCC
rnacentral:sRNA from 1 species